UUCCAUUUUCAAUCUCUGCAAUUUUCUCAUGUCUUCUUUCAUGUGCUUAGUGUAUUUUCAUUUUUAAAUAUGUUAUGGUUUUGGUCUCUAACCACGUCUCCCUGGUGUGCUUCCAUUGUCUAUAGGGAUGCUAUCGUGCUUCCUCUUGGUCCCUUUUCUGUUCAUAACUUUGGAUGGAAUUUGGCCUUAAUACUUUUCUAUUGUUUAUUUGAUUGUGAAAUGAUCCUUCCUGGCUUUUUGGAUUAAGGCUAUGUUCAGAAAAGAUUUUUCAACCUUCACAGAGCCCUGUCUUCUGUUGCUUUUGUAUGGAGUUUAAAAAUAAAACAGCUUGCUUUCUGGGACUGUCUCUGUCCUUACCCUUUCUUGAGUCUGGGCCAUCUUUCUUUCCUUGUCUUCAAAUUCUUGUAGGGUCUUACAUGUUCCUACACUGCCUACAAAGACUCUCAAGAGGAAUAGUCAGUCUCCCCUUUGUCUCUGUCCUGCUCAAUUCUGCUUUUAGUCCCAGGUGUUUUCGCAAGUGUGGAGUCCUGUCCUAGAAGAAAGCAGGCAGCCUCAUGAGCUUAUAAGGGCUGCCUUGCUCCAGCCCUUACAGGUGCUCUUCCAGCAGGCCCUCGCAUGAACCCACUUUUGGGAGAGGACAAAACUUCUCUCAGCUUCAGCCAGCACUUUUAGAUGGGCUUCCCCUCUUCAGUGAUCACCUGUUGCCUAUCGUGGGUUCUCCUGUUCUCACGUCCAUCAUACACUACCUCGUUCCUUCCUAUUCCUCCUGCACAAAUGCUGUUCUCAUGGCAGUUUUUUGUUUGCCCCACCUGCUUAUAUUUUGGGGCUCAUGGGGUUACCUUGUGACCUACUUCCAAGUAUUGUCUGAAUUUUUAGUUUUGCUACUGAGGGUUUUUUUUUUUUUAUUAUUAAUGGACAGAUUUGAAGAGAUUGAAAAAAUAGGCCUCCACCAACAACUUGCUUUUUCUGUUGAAUUUCAGUUGUUUAAUGAUUUUGUCUCCAAAUUCUAGCACUGUCUUAUGUGUUCCUGUAUUGACUACAGAGACCCCCAGGAGUAAUACAAUCCAGUCAACCACGAAUAUCCUACAGUCGGCUUACAAAGGCUGGUAACUUACAGGGUAUCUGGAUCUAGAAUUGUCUUAGUUUGGGAACUCUCUGUAAAGUUACUUCCUCUGGGAAACUGUGGUUAUCACCCCUAAGUAGAGCUUCUCCCUUACUUGUACUUCCUUCAUUAUACCGCUUGGGUUUAGUGUGUGCCACCCCAGAGAACUGAGAGCUCCAGGAAGCAGGGACCAUACACAUUUCAUCUCUGCAACCCCAGACCCUAGCACAAUGUCUGUCUGGUAUGGGGACUUCAUAAAUACUUCCUGAGAGAAGAAAUUUGAGCUAAAUGAUGCUUACAGCUGUAUUACAUAACUUAUAACAUUUAAAAAAUUAUUCUUAAAAAUAAUUCAGACUCAUCAUAGAAAACUUAGAAAAUUUUUUAAAAAGCAUAUAGAAAAAAUUUACCUACAAUAUCAUCCCCAAGAGAGAACCACUAUUAAUUACCCUUUGGUGUAUUCCAUUUUGUUCUUCUGCAUAUUUAAACUAUUUAGUUGGAAAAAUGUUGUAGGCCAUUUUAACCCCGUUUUUCAUGUAUAUUUUUGCACUUCUCCCAUGUAUUAUUCUUCCUAGCACUAUUUAAUAGCUGCGUAUUAUUCCAGUGUGAUAAAAGCAAUUUGAGUACAAAAUUAAAGGCACUUCAAUAAAGAUGAGCUUACACAGACUUCCUGCUGAUAUCUUGACAUAACCUGCCCUAUAAUAACUGGAAAUGAGUAUAAGGCAACUCCCGUUUUAGGAUCCAUUCAGAGAAGCUUAAGGGCAAAAAAAUUAAUAGAAUUAAUGUAGUGGACUCAUUGCCAGGUGCUAUUCCCAUAAAUUCCAGUAGGUGGCAGAACAGGUUAGCUAAUAUGGUUCUCAACCUCCAUGGGCAUUGUCACCUGCCAGGCUCCUGCCAGAGAUUCUGAGUAAACAGCCUUGGCGUGGCCCAGUCAUUUGCAUUUCUGAUAAGUCCCAGGUAAUUCUGAUACGCUGGAAGGAAACACACUGUGAGAACUCUGAAUUACACGAAGUCGAUGUAGAUCAAUCCAAAGCGCAUUCACCCACACAUCCAUGCAUGUCCAUGUUGUUUACUUUCCACCGGUUCUGUGAACACAGGAGAGAGUAAAAGAUUUCCUGUUCUCCAGACAUAGCCUUGUGAAAGGGGUGGGGGGCAGGAGAGAGGAGGAAUGAAGCAAAUAAUGCUCUGUUUAUUACUUGUACCUCUCCGUGUUUUUCUUCCUGACAUGCAGCCUUCAUGAAUGUUUGUUUUUCUGAUCCUGUCUCCAAAGAGAGUUCGAGCUUUGCGCCCUUAAAGCCUGAAUGGACAACUAGGUCAAGAGUCACCUCACAUGGCUGAAUGUGCUCAACACCAAACUCAGUAUGUCUGCUCUCCUAAAAUUCCCAGAGAUGAAAACUCUCCUCUCUGAACCCACCAAGGCCUGAGAUAUAAAAGCACACCAGACAACCUCUUCCCUGACUCUGCAUGAGCAAAAACAAAACAUUGUGACAAAAGUGUUAAGAAAGAAUUCUCUGCUUUUACUCUAAGUCUUCUACUGGGAACUUAUUCUAAGAAAAUAUGCACAAAGAAGUCCUCUGUACCACUGUCUAAAAGCAAAACUGGAAGUUAAUGUAGCCCCUAAGAUGAUCCAUGGAACUUACUAAAAUAACUUCCCAAGAACCUACGGAGCAUCAUGUAAUGAUUCAACCUUAAACAGUGUUGCUGGGGAGGUAAGGUGUUCACCUGAAUUUUGAAAAGUUUAUGGAUCAAAGGUGAGUUGAUGGUUUGCCAUCUGGAAAAGGUACAACAUGAAGAACUGCCAACAGACUGCACGUCUAACUACCUCAGGCAAAAAUGUUGAGUCGGGCUGAGUGGACCAUGUUUGUCAACGGAGGCUUGAAAGCUAGCGGGAGGUCAAUGGGAUCCUAAAGUCUGGCUCUAGGAGUGGUAACAAGGAACUUGGGGGCUUUUCCAUGAGGAUGGGAGAAGAUCCAAGAGCAAAGUCAGGAAAACAAAGAGCAAGAACGAUUUAAAGAGAUGAGUUGGAACUCGGUUAUGGAUAGGUUAAUAAAUCUAGACAUACCCUGUUGGCAACAGGAAGUUACUGCAGUUGUUUCCACAGAGGGGCCACGCGCUCAAAAGAGUGGCUGGUAAGAUGCCCUAGAGGCAGGUGCCAACAGCUUGAAAGGCACACACAAGUGGCCGAGGGGGAGGGGAGCUGUCCAGGUCUGGAUGGAAGAGACUUAAAGUAGGCAGAAAAUGGGAAGGGAAACAAGGAUUGGGGGGCGGUAAUCUAGGAUCUGGGUCUGUGGAGGCUAAAACUCUGGGCCCCAACCUCCUCAGCACUCACUAUUCUUCUAAGCAAUUGGCCGUUUUCCAAGCCUCAAUCUGCUCCUCUGUAUAACAGAAGUGACAAUCUGCCUAUGACGGUACUAUUGGGGAUCAAAGGUACAGGACCAUGCUUGGUGAACAACAAGGAGUCCCACAAAUUUAAAUUAAGAAUCAACCAACUAGGGGAUUGAGUAGAGGAGGCAGGAAGACAAUCCCCAAAUCCGGAACCUGCAUUAAUGGCACUCUUCCCCUCGCCCCUGCCCAAUUUGCAUCUACUCAUGGGGUCGCCAGAAUCCCUUCCUUGCAUCUGACUUUUCAGUGUACGGUUUUCCUCUUGGAUCUCAUUCAGAAAUUGUUACGAAGUUGGGUUUACAU